GCCCGCCUAGCUCAAUCGGCUAGAGCGUCAGACUUUUACGACUAGUGCGUCAUCUGAAGGCUGCGAGUUCGACCCUCGCGGUGGGCU
rnacentral:tRNA from 1 species